rnacentral:rRNA from 1 species
CUUCUGUAGGGUGAACCUGCGGAAGGAUCAUUACUGAUUUGCUUAAUUGCACCACAUGUGUUUUUUAUUGAACAAAUUUCUUUGGUGGCGGGAGCAAUCCUACCGCCAGAGGUUAUACUAAACCAAACUUUUUAUUUACAGUCAAACUUGAUUAUUAUUACAAUAGUCAAAACUUUCAACAACGGAUCUCUUGGUUCUCGCAUCGAUGAAGAACGCAGCGAAAUGCGAUACGUAAUAUGAAUUGCAGAUAUUCGUGAAUCAUCGAAUCUUUGAACGCACAUUGCGCCCUUUGGUAUUCCAAAGGGCAUGCCUGUUUGAGCGUCAUUUCUCCCUCAAACCCCCGGGUUUGGUGUUGAGCAAUACGCUAGGUUUGUUUGAAAGAAUUUAACGUGGAAACUUAUUUUAAGCGACUUAGGUUUAUCCAAAAACGCUUAUUUUGCUAGUGGCCACCACAAUUUAUUUCAUAACUUUGACCUCAAAUCAGGUAGGACUACCCGCUGAACUUAAGCAUAUCAAUAA